UAGCAGUGAUGAGCAUGCAAAGAUACCAUCAAACGCUGAAGAAUUAAGAAAAGCUUUGUUGAUAACUUCUAUUCAGUCUCUGAGCUA